UUUGAAAUGGUAUUUCUGGAAAUAAACAUCUGUAAUAACCAUUUGUAGACUUACUAGAUUAAACCCAGUUGAAUAGUCAGAUGCUGCAUUUUGAGUCAUCUUUCAUUGAAUUCCAGAAAUCUAUUGUUCUUUUCUUCUUGUGAAAUAAAUAAUCUAGUAUAUUAGUGCCAAUAAGCACUUAGAAAGACAUGUAAACCAAUGUUGGUAAGUAUAAUAUUUCUCUCUUCAUAUAUCAACUAUGAAAUACUGCUCUUAAUUACAAGUUUUUAGAAUUUCUCUGACCUUACUACUUAUCAUCUAUUAUGAAACUAAAAACCGUCCAAAAGUCUUAUAUCAUCCAAUAUAAGUGAAAUUCUUGAUUAGGAAGUCUUCUAGAACACAUUGCCUACUUUUUAACCUUUAGGAGGUGUGUCUGACGUGGUCUUAAUACAGGUGAUGUCAUUUAUAAAUCAGAAAUCUCCACGUAUGGCUUCGAAUCUAGAGGAGUAUUUUCUUCUGAUGGAUUGGGUUUGAUUGCAAGGCAAAUGCAUUAUUAUCCAUAAGUCCAUUUUCCUUGUAAAAUAUAUAAUUCCUUGCCUAUUGCAGGUGUUGAUCCCAACCUUGU
rnacentral:misc_RNA from 1 species